UACAGAGGGGGCGAGCGUUGUUCGGAAUUACUGGGCGUAAAGGGCGCGUAGGCGGCCUCCUAAGUCGAACGUGAAAUCCCCGGGCUCAACCCGGGAACUGCGUCCGAUACCGGGAAGCUUGAAUCCGGGAGAGGGAUGUGGAAUUCCAGGUGUAGCGGUGAAAUGCGUAGAUAUCUGGAGGAACACCGGUGGCGAAGGCGGCAUCCUGGACCGGUAUUGACGCUGAGGCGCGAAAGCCAGGGGAGCAAACGGG
rnacentral:rRNA from 1 species